rnacentral:rRNA from 1 species
GGGGGGGGGGGGGGGGGGGGGGGGGGGGGGGGGGGCGGGCGGGGGGGGGCGGGGGUGGGGGGGUGCGCGGGGGGGGGGCGGGUGAGUGACACGUGGGUGACCUGCCGUUGGCCGUUGGGUUCCUUCCGGGGGCUGGGGCCACCACCGUCGCGGCGCUCCUGCUCCGUGGUGGGUGGUGGACAGUGUCGGCGGGUGGGGCUGGACUCGCGGCUUAUCAGUCGGUUGGUGGGGUAGUGGCUUACCAAGGCUUUGACGGGUAGCCGGCCUGAGAGGGUGACCGGCCACAUUGGGACUGAGAUACGGCCCAGACUCCUACGGGAGGCAGCAGUGGGGAAUAUUGCACAAUGGGCGGAAGCCUGAUGCAGCAACGCCGCGUGCGGGAUGACGGCCUUCGGGUUGUAAACCGCUUUCGCCUGUGACGAAGCGUGAGUGACGGUAAUGGGUAAAGAAGCACCGGCUAACUACGUG